GUGACCUCAAAUCAGGUAGGACUACCCGCUGAACUUAAGCAUAUCAAUAAGCGGAGGAAAAGAAACUAACAAGGAUUCCCCUAGUAACUGCGAGUGAAGCGGGAAAAGCUCAAAUUUAAAAUCUGGCAGCCUUUGGUUGUCCGAGUUGUAAUCUAGAGAAGUGUUAUCCGCGCUGGACCGUGUACAAGUCUCCUGGAAUGGAGCGUCAUAGAGGGUGAGAAUCCCGUCUUUGACACGGACUGCCAGGGCUUUGUGAUGCGCUCUCAGAGAGUCGAGUUGUUUGGGAAUGCAGCUCAAAACGGGUGGUAAAUUCCAUCUAAAGCUAAAUAUUGGCGAGAGACCGAUAGCGAACAAGUACCGUGAGGGAAAGAUGAAAAGAACUUUGGAAAGAGAGUUAAACAGUACGUGAAAUUGCUGAAAGGGAAACGCUUGAAGUCAGUCGCGUUGUCCAGGGAUCAACCUUGCUUUUGCUUGGUGUACUUUCUGGUUGACGGGUCAGCAUCAAUUUUGACCAUUGGAAAAAGAUUAGGGGAAUGUGACAUCUUUGGAUGUGUUAUAGCCCUUGGUUGCAUACAAUGGUUGGGAUUGAGGAACUCAGCACGCCGCAAGGCCGGGUUUUAAACCACGUACGUGCUAGGAUGCUGCAUA
rnacentral:rRNA from 1 species